rnacentral:rRNA from 1 species
AUACGUAGGUGACAAGCGUUAUCCGGAUUUACUGGGCGUAAAGGGCGUGUAGGCGGUCUUGCAAGUCAGAAGUGAAAUUCCUGAGCUCAACUCGGGCGCUGCUUCUGAAACUGCAGGGCUUGAGUGCUGGAGGGGAUAGCGGAAUUCCUAGUGGAGCGGUAAAAUGCGCAGAUAUUAGGAAGAACACCGGUGGCGAAGGCGGCAUUCUGGACAUUAACUGACGCGGAGGCGCGAAAGCGUGGGGAGCAAACAGGAUUAGAUACCCUGGUAGCCCACGCCGUAAACGAUGAAUACUAGGUGUAGGGGGUAUCGACUCCCUCUGUGCCGCAGUUAACACAAUAAGUAUUCCGCCUGGGGAGUACGGCCGCAAGGUUGAAACUCAAAUGAAUUGACGGGG